rnacentral:rRNA from 1 species
UACGGGGGGGGCAAGCGUUGUUCGGAAUUACUGGGCGUAAAGGGCGCGUAGGCGGCCAGACCAAGUCGAGUGUGAAAUUGCAGGGCUUAACUUUGCAGGGUCGCUCGAUACUGGUCGGCUAGAGUGUGGAAGAGGGUGCUGGAAUUCCCGGUGUAGCGGUGAAAUGCGUAGAUAUCAGGAGGAACACCUGUGGUGUAGACAGCUUACUGGACCAUUUCUGACGCUGAGACACGAAAGCGUGGGUAGCAAACAGG